AUUGAACGCUGGCGGCAUGCUUUACACAUGCAAGUCGAACGGUAACAGGCCGCAAGGUGCUGACGAGUGGCGAACGGGUGAGUAAUGCAUCGGAACGUGCCCAGUCGUGGGGGAUAACUACUCGAAAGAGUAGCUAAUACCGCAUACGAUCUAUGGAUGAAAGCGGGGGACCGUAAGGCCUCGCGCGAUUGGAGCGGCCGAUGUCAGAUUAGGUAGUUGGUGGGGUAAAGGCUCACCAAGCCAACGAUACGUAGCUGGUCUGAGAGGACAACCAGCCACACUGGGACUGAGACACGGCCCAGACUCCUACGGGAGGCAGCAGUGGGGAAUUUUGGACAAUGGGCGCAAGCCUGAUCCAGCAAUGCCGCGUGCAGGAAGAAGGCCUUCGGGUUGUAAACUGCUUUUGUACGGAACGAAACGGCUCUGGUUAAUACCCGGGGCUAAUGACGGUACCGUAAGAAUAAGCACCGGCUAACUACGUG
rnacentral:rRNA from 1 species